UUCCAUGCCACGUGGUUCUUUUCCAACCACAUAACUCCUCCGCACACAUUACUGAUAUCUUCUUCUACUUUCAUAAUUCAAUUUCAAACUCAAGUUGCAUAUAGUCUACCCUCUCCCGUGAACAGUCAAAUUCAAACUCUCUGCGGUGUGCCCCUUUUCUAGGGUUUCAAGCGCGGCAUCACCGCUGGAAAAUCAACUCUCCGAUUCAGUCUUUCUCUCUCGCCUACUCCGAUUCAAUCUUUCUCUCUCGCCGGACCUGGUUUCAAGCCACCGCUCCGAAAUCAAUCCUCCGAUUAAAUCUAACUCUCUCGCCGAAGCUGUUUGUGAGCUAUGAGCAUAUGAGUUUGUGAGCUGUUUAUAUGGUAAUAACAGGGACUACUAUAACAAGGACUAUUAAUGAAUGAUCAAGAAGUAGCCGUGAAACCUUUUUCAAGAGGUUCAAAUCAAGAUGUGAAAAUAGUUGUACGGCUUUUUGAUCUUGCCUUGAAGGUUUACUUUUUUAACUUAACAUUUGUUGCUCUGUUCUAUAACAGGAGUGUCAUAAUGUUAUAGGACUGAAAAAUGUCUUCGUUUUAGAUAUAUAAUUUUGAAAAAAUGUCUCCAUAUGGACGAAUUGAAAUCUUAUGGGAGUGUCUUGGACUCUUGGAUUUGCUUUUUGUAUUUUCAGUUAUUUGAUUAACAUGAAAUAUAUCACACUUGCUUA